rnacentral:rRNA from 1 species
CCAGAAAGACUAUCUGGUUGAUAGGUCGAAGGUGUAAGUGCAGCAAUGUAUUUAGCUUAUCGAUACUAAUAGGUCGAGGACUUGACCAAUGUUUAUU